UUACUUGGAUAACUGCGGUAAUUCUGGAGCUAAUACAUGCGUCCAAGCCCCGAACUUUUAUUAGAUCAAAACCAAACGUCUUCGGACGUCCCCCUGGUGAUUCUGAAUAACUUUUUGCCGAUCGCACGGCUUCACGCCGGCGACGUGUCCAUCUAAGGUGUGCCCUAUCAACUGUCGACUGUGGCAUAGACGCCCACAGUGGUUUUGACGGGUAACGGGGAAUCAGGGUUCGAUUCCGGAGAGGGAGCCUGAGAAACGGCUACCACUUCUAAGGAAGGCAGCAGGCACGCAAAUUACCCACUGGUCGAAGACCGAGGUAGUGACGAAAAAUAACGAUACCAGACUCAUCCGAGGCCUGGUAAUCGGAAUGAGUACACUUUAAACCUUUUAACGAGGAACAAUUGGAGGGCAAGUCUGGUGCCAGCAGCCGCGGUAAUUCCAGCUCCAAUAGCGUAUAUUAAUGUUGUUGCGGUUAAAAAGCUCGUAGUUGGAUCUCGGCGGGCAGGGGACGGUUCGUUGUUUGACGCUACUGUCCCAUUGUCCCGUGAUGUUUGGUCGGAGGUUCCGGGGUGCUCUUAACCGAGUGUCCCGGGGCGCCGUCCGGUUUACUUUGAAAAAAUUAGAGUGCUCAGCGCAGGCUUUCCACGCUUGAAUAUCAGUGCAUGGAAUAAUGGAAUAGGACAUCGUUUCUAUUUUGUUGGUUUUUCGAAAUCGAUGUAAUGAUCAAUAGGGACAGUCGGGGGCAUUAGUAUUCCGGCGACAGAGGUGAAAUUCUUGGACCGCCGGAAGACUCACUACUGCGAAAGCAUUUGCCAAGAAUGUUUUCAUUAAUCAAGAACGAAAGUUAGAGGUUCGAAGGCGAUCAGAUACCGCCCUAGUUCUAACCAUAAACGAUGCCAGCUAGCGAUCCGCGGACGUUUUUACUGUAGGCUCCGCGGGAAGCUUCCGGGAAACCAAAGCUUUUGGGUUCCGGGGGAAGUAUGGUUGCAAAGCUGAAACUUAAAGGAAUUGACGGAAGGGCACCACCAGGAGUGGAGCCUGCGGCUUAAUUUGACUCAACACGGGAAAUCUCACCAGGCCCGGACACUGGCAGGAUUGACAGAUUGAGAGUUCUUUCUUGAUUGGUCUAGUGGUGGUGCAUGGCCGUUCUUAGUUGGUGGAGUGAUUUGUCUGGUUAAUUCCGUUAACGAACGAGACCUUAACCUGCUAACUAGUACUGCGUUCUUAAUCGUUGUUACUUCUUAGAGGGACUAUGUGAUGUAAUCACAUGGAAGUUUGAGGCAAUAACAGGUCUGUGAUGCCCUUAGAUGUCCUGAGCUGCACGCGCGCUACAAUGACACAUUCAGCAAGUACCUCCUGAUCCGAAAGGAUUUGGGUAAUCUUUUUAGUGUGUGUCGUGAUAGGGAUAGAUCUUUGUAAUUAUGGAUCUUGAACGAGGAAUUCCUAGUAAGCACAAGUCAUCAGCUUGUGCUGAUUACGUCCCUGCAAAAUGUACACACCGCCCGUCGCUUUUACCGAUCGAGUGUUCAGGUGAACCU
rnacentral:rRNA from 1 species